rnacentral:lncRNA from 1 species
AAAUCCACAAUAAACCUUAAAAGAAUCUUUAAAAAAUCCUAAAAAAUAUCAGAAUAAUUACAAAUAUAUUUUAAAUAAAUCUAAAUUAAAUUUUAAUUUAAUCCUUGUUGAAACCUUAACAGACUUCAAUCAAAUCAUAGACAAAUCUUAAAUCCUAGACCAAAUCUUAGAUAAAAUCUAAACCCUAAAUAAAACCCUAAAUAAAUCCUAAAUCCUAAAUCAAAACUUAGAAAUAUCCUAAAUCCUAAAAUAAAUCCUAGAAAAAUCCUAAAUCUUAAAUCAAAUCCUAAUCAAACCUUAAUCAACUCAAUCUAACUAUAGUACUAUUUAGAACCUCAAUAUCUAUCAAUUGAAUCAUUUAUCUUGCUUAAAAAUUUAUAUACUUUUUAAAAAUUAAAUUAAAAAUAAGCACAUGAAAUUUGAAGAUAAUCACACUUAUCAAAUGGGAGAAAAAUCCUAAAAUCUACUUAGGUGUUGGCCAACCUUCUACUUUGAUCUAAAU